UACGUAGGGGGCAAGCGUUGUCCGGAAUCAUUGGGCGUAAAGAGCGCGUAGGCGGCCCUGUAAGUCCGCUGUGAAAGUCAAGGGCUCAACCCUUGAAUGCCGGUGGAUACUGCAGGGCUAGAGUCCGGAAGAGGCGAGUGGAAUUCCUGGUGUAGCGGUGAAAUGCGCAGAUAUCAGGAGGAAUACCGAUGGCGAAGGCAGGUCUCUGGGCUAUAACUGACGCUCAUGCACGAAAGCGUGGGGAGCAAACAGG
rnacentral:rRNA from 1 species